rnacentral:rRNA from 1 species
CAGUCGCCGCGGUAAUACGUAGGUGGCAAGCGUUGUCCGGAAUUAUUGGGCGUAAAGGGCUCGCAGGCGGUUUCUUAAGUCUGAUGUGAAAGCCCCCGGCUCAACCGGGGAGGGCCAUUGGAAACUGGGAAACUUGAGUGCAGAAGAGGAGAGUGGAAUUCCACGUGUAGCGGUGAAAUGCGUAGAGAUGUGGAGGAACACCAGUGGCGAAGGCGACUCUCUGGUCUGUAACUGACGCUGAGGAGCGAAAGCGUGGGGAGCGAACAGGAUUAGAUACCCCCGUAGUCCCUGUCUCUUAUAC